UGAUAAAGAUGUUAAAAAAUAGUGGAC
rnacentral:sRNA from 1 species